rnacentral:lncRNA from 1 species
GGAAGCUGGGUGGGGAGGGAAGCUUGAGUGUACUUAAUAUUCACAUAAAUAGCCAUUUUUGUCCUUCCUUCGCAACUCAAUUUCUUCACGUGAAAAUGAGAAAUUACCUUAUUUUGCCCACUCCACUAAAAGAGUGCUGACGGGGGCCUAGAAGAAUAUUCUCUGUCUACCUGUCUCUCAUCUCAUGACGGAGCUGAGAGUCUGCUGGGAGAACGGCCCUCCCCGCCAGUGCCAGGCUCUCAGCCCGGGAGGCUGCCAGGCAGGGGCUCCCCUGUGCAGUCCGAAGCAGCCUGGCCGAGCCGCAAUCAGCCAGAUGGCAGCUGGGUCGCUGCCCGACGACAGGGAAGGAAUCUGCUGGUGUGCUCAGGAGUCCCGCCUGCCAGCCUGGGAGACACCUGGUCGGGCAGUCCACUCAGGGUCAGAAUUGCUGAGGGCCUGGGGCCUUGCAAAGCAAGGACAAGCGUCCUGAAUCACCUUCCCUGGGCUGUUAUCAGAAUACAUGGUGAGGCAGGGUGUGCCCGAUGGGCUAGGAGCCCUUUCAGAGCAGGGCAUAAUAUGAAGACUAUUCACAGCGAUGUGUGUUUAUUGAUUACGUGUGAAUGACAUUUUCCUAUUUAUCUUUCUGCCUUCUGCAAAUUCAACUGGGAUUUCUUGAGGAAACAGCCAUUACCUGGACUCUGUAACCCUGCCGCUGGAUGCCUAGUGAAGUCAUUUGACACGGACAGUGUGUGGAGGCAAGGUCUCUAAAUCUCCAGCUGAGCUACGAUGACACAGAAGCUCAUCCCGACACAGUAGAUUCUUUUGUGUUUAUCGACUCUGCACAUGAGAGUGAAGACAACAAGCAAUGUCACUGUGUUCGGUUAUUACCUUCUCCUCCAAGAGGCAGCAAGAAGGAAGACUUAGCUCACCAGCCCGGGUCCAAACAACAAGAAAAAAUAUUUCAGGAGAGGAAGAUCCCAGACCUUGGAAAUAGCCAUUUUUGAUCCCCAGAAAGAAGAAAUCCUGAAUUAACAAAGAAGAGGCUUAGGGCUCAGGUCUCUGAAGUCACUUGCUCAGGGACCCUGGCGAUGGAGACCUGGGAGGGAGAUUAUAGAAAGACUCAAGGUUUCCGGAGUUUGGACUGCUUAUGUAAACUUGGUGAGACAGCUACUGACCCCAAGGUCACCGUGACACCCCCUUUCGCAAAACACUGCUCUCUAGGUACAACAUCUUUACUAUUUUGGGUAAUUUUUCUUUAUCUACCGGAAUCUCCGUGGAGGCCCUUUCUCUCUCAUUUCUCUCCUGU